CCGUUUCUCUAUGCUCUGUCUUAGCGUGCUUUCCAGGUCUCCCUUUCUGGAAAUCAUGCCAUCCCUUAGAUAUAUUUGAGUUUUAUUCAAACUAGCAUAGCAUCUCAAAUAGCUCCUCAUAGCAAAGUCAUGCUCCCAGACAGGCGUGCACUGUUGACCACAAAAGCUGUCUCCAAAGCUCCUUUUGUCUAGAAGUCCAUCUCUCCUUUCCCAUGUGACAUUGUGCUCACUUAUUGCAUUAGCUAUUUGGCGUAGCAUUCCACUCCAGACUUCUUCUUUCUCCUCUUCCGGUUUCUUAUCUUUUGUUCGAGAGAGCCAUUCUCUUCUUGAUCUGCCUCAUGAAAUGGUCGAUCAAAUUCCUCCAAAGUUCCAGCAAUUCCUUUUGAUGUAAUUGCCUGCCUUGAAAUGAUCUUUGUACAUAUGCCAAAGCCAACCUUUAAUGUCCUCCCAGUGGAUUUAAUGCAAGGCAUUAAUACCACCACUUGAGAUUCUACUAUAACAUAAGGCUUUAGCAUCGAUGAGAUACCUGCAAAAAAGUAAACAAUGUUAGCUGAAAAAUUGCUAACCAAUCUCUCCUCAAGAAUGAUUCGAGUCCGAUAGCAAAUUGUAGCCUCUUUUCCUCCUAAUUGCUUGCAACCUUCACUCUUAUGUAAGGACAUUGCAUCUUGUCUUCUUAAUAAUCCUCCUUCCUUUUGAGUCCAUAUCCCAGAAGCCAUGACAUUCAAUAUUUCCUUCAUCUAGAGCAUAGUUGGCAAGGUGGUCUGCUAAUGUAUUCCCUUCUCUGAGUAUGUGUGUGACCUUGAUGAUACUUUAUUCCUUCAAUCUUAAAAUCUCCUCAACGUGAUCAGUAAUACGCCAAGGAGGUUUCCAUGAUUCCUCUAUAAUGUUCUUUAAUAGCAAGGAAUCUGUCUGCAGCCAUAUCUGAAAAUAAUUAAGAUUUUUGCACAUCUUCAAUGCCUCCACAAUAGCUACUGCUUCUGAUUCAUUAUUGGUUCCUUCAGAAAUCUCCCUUCCUUCUGCAUAUAUCAAAUCACCUACCUCAUCCCUUAUGCAAAAACCAAUUGAACUCCUCUCUGGGUUCCUUCUAAUAACCAAUUGAAAUGCUCCAUCCGUAUUUACUUUGAUCCACCCUCUUGGAGGAAAUUCCCAUAACACAUUUUCAUAUUUCAAUCGAGGUGUGUAUUACUCCAUUAUUGUCAGUAAGUCCAGUCACUUGUGAGGCACAUGCAGUCCAGGCUUUUUUAGUUGGACUAGACCUUGCAGAGUAGAUGACACCUGGUAAAUAACUCUGCUCACUGACACUGCUUCUCCAUAUUUCAAACUGUUUCUUCUCUUCCAAAGUUCACAUACAAUGCAUGCAGGUAAAGCUUGUAAGACUGGCUUCAAUCUGGGAACAACUGGUGCUGUCCAACACUUUGUAAUUGCUUGUUGUAAAGAUAACCCUUCUAAUGCAAUUCCUGCUCUCCUCAGGAAGUAAUUCCAAACACUCCUAGCUGCAUUGGAUGUGAAGAACAAAUGUACUAAUGACUCCUCCUUAGGAUCAGCACAGCACCAACAUUUUGAUGGCAUGGAGUAUCCUAUUUUACGCAAGAAAUCAUCAAGUGGCAGUUCGGCUUUCCACACCUUCCACAGGAAGAAGGAUAUCUUGAAAGGUAAGGCUUUGACCCAUAUCAUCCUGUAGCCUAAUCUUGGGCUGUCUCUUCUUCGCAGGUAAUCCCAUGUGUGAGCACGUGAUUUUUGCCCUAUGUGAGAAUUACUCCCAAAAAUUCAAAAUAAAACAAUUUUCCUUUGUGUGCAAUUUUGAGAAUUUUCGUGGCAUUUUUGGAUAAUUAUUUGUAUUUGUCCGUGCAUGUUUAUUUGUUAAAUUAUUAAAAAAUACAAAAUAUGUCGCAUUUGCAUUUAGGAUUUGAUUCUACAAUUAGGAGUAAUUAAGUUUGUUUUACAAGAACAAAAAAUCAUAAAAAUAUUGUACGUUGCAUUUUUAGCAUUUAAUGUCCAAAUUGUGUGAUUUUAUCGUAAUU
rnacentral:lncRNA from 1 species